GACGAACGCUGGCGGCGUGCUUAACACAUGCAAGUCGAACGAUGAAGCUGGAGCUUGCUCCGGUGGAUUAGUGGCGAACGGGUGAGUAACACGUGAGCAAUCUGCCCUUGACUCUGGGAUAACUGCGGGAAACUGUAGCUAAUACCGGAUACUUUCCUUGGUGGGCAUCCACUGGGGAAGAAAGAAUUUCGGUCAAGGAUGAGCUCGCGGCCUAUCAGCUAGUUGGUGAGGUAAUGGCUCACCAAGGCGACGACGGGUAGCCGGCCUGAGAGGGUGACCGGCCACACUGGAACUGAGACACGGUCCAGACUCCUACGGGAGGCAGCAGUGGGGAAUAUUGCACAAUGGGCGAAAGCCUGAUGCAGCAACGCCGCGUGAGGGACGAAGGCCUUCGGGUUGUAAACCUCUUUUAGCAGGGAAGAAGCGAAAGUGACGGUACCUGCAGAAAAAGCACCGGCUGACUACGUGCCAGCCGCCGCCGUAA
rnacentral:rRNA from 1 species